rnacentral:rRNA from 1 species
GACGAACGCUGGCGGCGCGCCUAACACAUGCAAGUCGAACGAGGUCUUUUAGGAAGCUUGCUUCUUGGCAGACCUAGUGGCGGACGGGUGAGUAACACGUGAGCAACCUGCCGGGGAGUGGGGGAUAACGUCUGGAAACGGACGCUAAUACCGCAUAACAUCAACGAGUGGCAUCGCUUGUUGAUCAAAGGAGCAAUCCGCUCCCCGAUGGGCUCGCGCCCGAUUAGAUAGUUGGUGAGGUAACGGCUCACCAAGUCGACGAUCGGUAGCCGGACUGAGAGGUUGAACGGCCACAUUGGGACUGAGACACGGCCCAGACUCCUACGGGAGGCAGCAGUGGGGAAUAUUGCACAAUGGGGGAAACCCUGAUGCAGCGACGCCGCGUGGGUGAAGACGGCCUUCGGGUUGUAAAGCCCUGUUGACGGGGACGAUAAUGACGGUACCCGUUUAGAAAGCCACGGCUAACUACGUGCCAGCAGCCGCCGUAAAAC